rnacentral:sRNA from 1 species
UUCUUAGAGGGGGAUAGUGGAAUUGAAGAAGAAAGAAGACUUUGUUAUGUUGGUUUUACAAGAGCUAAAGAAAGACUUUAUUUAACUAAUGCUAAAAA